UACGGAGGAUGCAAGCGUUAUCCGGAUUCAUUGGGUUUAAAGGGUCCGCAGGCGGGGUAAUAAGUCAGAGGUGAAAUCCUACGGCUCAACUGUAGAACUGCCUUUGAUACUGUUAUCCUAGAGUGUAGUUGAUGUGGGCGGAAUAUGUCAUGUAGCGGUGAAAUGCUUAGAUAUGACAUAGAACACCGAUCGCGAAGGCAGCUCACAAAGCUACAACUGACGCUCAGGGACGAAAGCGUGGGGAUCAAAC
rnacentral:rRNA from 1 species